AGAGUUUGAUCAUGGCUCAGAUUGAACGCUGGCGGCAUGCCUUACACAUGCAAGUCGAGCGGCAGCGCGGGGGCAACCCUGGCGGCGAGCGGCGAACGGGUGAGUAAUGCAUCGGAACGUGUCCUCUUGUGGGGGAUAACCAGUCGAAAGAUUGGCUAAUACCGCAUGAGAUCGAGAGAUGAAAGCAGGGGACCGCAAGGCCUUGCGCGAGAGGAGCGGCCGAUGCCGGAUUAGCUAGUUGGUGGGGUAAAAGCCUACCAAGGCGACGAUCCGUAGCUGGUCUGAGAGGACGACCAGCCACACUGGGACUGAGACACGGCCCAGACUCCUACGGGAGGCAGCAGUGGGGAAUUUUGGACAAUGGGGGCAACCCUGAUCCAGCCAUGCCGCGUGUGUGAAGAAGGCCUUCGGGUUGUAAAGCACUUUCGGACGGAACGAAAUCGCGCGGGUGAAUAUCCAGCGUGGAUGACGGUACCGUAAGAAGAAGCACCGGCUAACUACGUGCCAGCAGCCGCGGUAAUACGUAGGGUGCGAGCGUUAAUCGGAAUUACUGGGCGUAAAGUGUGCGCAGGCGGCUCUGCAAGUCGAGUGUGAAAUCCCCGAGCUUAACUUGGGAAUUGCGCUCGAAACUAUGGAGCUGGAGUGUGGCAGAGGAAGGUGGAAUUCCACGUAGCGGUGAAAUGCGUAGAGAUGUGGAGGAACACCGAUGGCGAAGGCAGCCUUCUGGGCCAACACUGACGCUCAUGCACGAAAGCGUGGGGAGCAAACAGGAUUAGAUACCCUAGUAGUCC
rnacentral:rRNA from 1 species